UUUGAUCAUGGCUCAGGACGAACGCUGGCGGCGUGCUUAACACAUGCAAGUCAAGGAGAAUGAGUUUCUUCGGAGACUCUAGUAAACUGGCGAACGGGUGAGUAACACGUAGGUAACCUGCCCUUGGAUUGGGGAUAACCUUGCUAAAGCGGGGUUAAUACCGGAUGAUGUUUUCUUUUCGCAUGACGAGGAAAUGAAAGUUGUCUUGAUUAUUCGGGAUAGCGUCCAUGGAUGGACCUGCGUCCCAUUAGCUAGUUGGCGAGGUAACAGCUCACCAAGGCGACGAUGGGUAGCCGGCCUGAGAGGGUGUCCGGCCACACUGGGACUGAGAUACGGCCCAGACUCCUGCGGGAGGCAGCAGUGAGGAAUAUUGCGCAAUGGCCGAAAGGCUGACGCAGCAACGCCGCGUGGGUGAUGAAGUUCUAAGGAGCGUAAAGCCCUGUUAGGAGGGAAGAAUAGUGUCGAUGUGAAUAAUGUCGAUAUUNGACGGACCUCCAGAGAAGCCCC
rnacentral:rRNA from 1 species